CCUUCUUCCAAGUGGAGGGCCCACAGUUUUCCUCAGGUUUUUAAAGGGGUCUGUGGCCUAAAAUAUUAAGAACCACUGCUUUAUUGAUGGGGGGAGGUCAUAUGAGAUGCUUCAAAGUAAAUAGUAAAUAUCCUUAUAUUGGUAGAAUCGAGGCCCUUUAAGAUGAUUUCCCACGAAUCAGCGCUCCUGGUUCAAAAAAGAAAGUCUGAGAAUACAGUCAUGAAGCACAUGCCAUUUUAUGCCACCCCCAUCAGCUGGCGCCUCUUGAAUGAUUGCGUGCUCAAUACAAGUCCUGCUGGUUACCAAAGGAGCCACGUCUCCCAGGUCGUGCUUGGAGGCGUGCUUCGCAGCCUUGGAUCCCAAAGAAGGAAGGCUUUGGAUGUCCUGCAGCGUGAGCUUCUGGUCCUUCCAGAGAAAUCAGCUCUGUGGCCAAAUCCAAAAUGUCUAUGACUUCCGUUUUGUCACUCCAGCUCCUAAAAAUUCCUGAAAAGUGCUAUGGGAUUUGUGCACCGUCUCUUUCAAUUUUUUUCGUCAGCCAGAACCUUGCAGUUUGGCGUUUCCCUGUUAAAUCCUGAACUUUCUCGUGCAGCUCAAUGGUAAGCACUCGUUUUGCCAGAGACUCGUUAGAAGCCCUCUCCCUAGCACCCCUGUGGGCAGUGGUGUUGAGGGAUAUCCCUUCCUCUGUCACCACACAGAACAUCCUGGGGGACUGUGUGACCAGGUCACUGAUCUUGUCUGGCCGUGUUGGUACCAGAAGUCACAUAGUGAUAUAAACAAAGCACAGGGGAACAGAAAGGCAGACAUGUGACACCCUUACCAUCCCGGAGGGGUUGAACACGUUUCUGCGUCAGAAAAGUUGACUGAAUGGCCUAAAUGUUGUGAAAUGUCACAGGUGGUUUUUUUUUUUUUUUUUUUUCAGUGAGAGUGUCAAAGCCACAAAAUUUUUCAUCAACAUAGGAAAGAAAAACAAUGAAUUACUGGUGUAGUUCAACAGAUGACUGCCGUGCCUUCAUUGACCCAUCCUUAUUUGGCUGCUAAGAGAUGCUAAGGUCUCUGCAGGUCUCCCUUGGACUCUUCCCUCCAGUACGUGGCUUCUUCGCGGAUGCCCUGACUACUGAGUGGGAGGGAACUUGAUCCAGUUAAAAUAGACCUACUUCCCUCCUUCGCCCCAGCCUCCUCAUCCCCAAUUUGUACCGUUAUAUAACAGAUGAGGACACUCUUUGACUUGGGAGAGAGAGAAAAAAUAUUUGUGGGGGUAUAGAAGUGACCUUUGUCAUUUGAUUAGCAUGUCCCAAAUGUUAAGAGGACUAUUGGGCCAGCCAGUCAGCAUCAAUCUAAAAGGUGCAGUCAACCAUCGCUGGAGUAUAGUACAGUACUAGAGUUGAACGACCCCAGCCAGGUGAAAAUACCAACUCGGUGAAAUAUUAAAUGGGUUCUGCCACCACCAAAG
rnacentral:lncRNA from 1 species